rnacentral:rRNA from 1 species
UUCGGAUUGCAGCCUGCAACUCGGCUGCAUGAAGCUGGAAUCGCUAGUAAUCGCGGAUCAGAAUGCCGCGGUGAAUACGUUCCCGGGUCUUGUACACACCGCCCGUCACACCAUGGGAGCCGGGAAUGCCCGAAGUCAGUGGCCCAACCGCAGGGAGGGAGCUGCCGAAGGCAGGCCCGGUGACUGGGGUGAAGUCGUAACAAGGUACC